GACAGAGGGUGCAAACGUUGCUCGGAAUCACUGGGCGUAAAGGGCGCGUAGGUGGCGGCCCAAGUCCAUGGUGAAAGCUCGAUGCUCAACAUCGAGUCGGCCACGGAUACUGGGUUGCUCGAGCACUGUAGGGGCAGAUGGAAUUCCGGGUGUAGCGGUGGAAUGCGUAGAGAUCCGGAAGAACACCGGUGGCGAAGGCGGUCUGCUGGGCAGUUGCUGACACUGAGGCGCGACAGCGUGGGGAGCGAACGGG
rnacentral:rRNA from 1 species